rfam:Tersicoccus phoenicis strain 1p05MA scaffold54_cov350_read201, whole genome shotgun sequence.
GCCCGAACCCCGCUCACGACGGAUCGUCCGGCACGUACCUGCCGGUGAAGGGAAGACA